UACAGAGGUCUCAAGCGUUGUUCGGAUUCAUUGGGCGUAAAGAGCUCGUAGGCGGCUGUUCAAGUCGAACGUGAAAACUCGGAGCUCAACUCCGAGCCUGCGUUCGAUACUGGACGGCUAGAGUCUGGUAGGGGGAUCUGGAAUUCCUGGUGUAGCGGUGGAAUGCGCAGAUAUCAGGAGGAGCACCGGUGGCGAAGGCGGGUCUCUGGGCCGAAACUGACGCUGAGGAGCGAAAGCAUGGGGAGCGAACAGG
rnacentral:rRNA from 1 species